CAGCCUAGAGAGAAAGCAAAGGCUUCCUCCAGGAUCCUGUGGGUGAAGUGGGGGAAGCAGAGAGGCACAAUUACAAGGCUUUUUACUGAUUCCAGGGCGCGGCAGAAGCAUGGAAAGCCUAACAAACGGUCCCUUCACUUCAGAACUUCCUAAUCCGGAGAACAUGCCUGUCUUGGUGCUUCAUACUCAAAACUCAAGGCUGGGAAGGUGAUUCUGAGCUGGCGGAUUUGGACCAGUUGAGAGAUGCUCUGUUCCAAGAGAGGGGACCGAUAAAUAUCUGGGCUUUGGAAGUAAUUUUAUGAUGUUUGGAUUUUGUGCUGGCACUAGGCUCUGGGUUUUAAGCACUCUGCUGUCAUAUGGUGUGCAGCCUUUCCAAGAAAAACUCUAUAAAAUGAAAAUACUGUAUCA